CUCUGCCAUGCCAAAGUGCCUCCAGAUAGGUCAGCAGAGAAGCUGAGUGGCAUGUUUUCAAAGUGAUAGGGUGAGUUGCCUCUCAGAGCUGUUAAGACUCCUGCCUUGUCAGUUCCUGUCCUGAACUGGAUCACCAGGUUUCUUGGAGCAGAGAUCGGAGCUCUGGUCGGUUUGGGGGCAUGGAAGAUCCUGUCUAGUGUUAUAGCUUUGGCCUGUCAUGGUGGCAGUAGGGCCCCCAACCCCCACAUUUGAAAAAUGAUUUUACACGUUUAUCCAGAAAUA